rnacentral:rRNA from 1 species
AACGAACGCUGGCGGCAUGCCUAACACAUGCAAGUCGAACGAAACCUUCGGGUCUAGUGGCGCACGGGUGCGUAACGCGUCGGAACCUGCCCUUAGGUUCGGAAUAACUCCCCGAAAGGGGUGAUAAUACCGGAUAAUGUCUACGGACCAAAGAUUUAUCGCCUUUGGUUGGGCCCGCGUUGGAUUAGCUAGUUGGUAGGGUAAAAGACUACUAAGGCGACGAUUCAUAGCUGGUUUGAGAGGAUGAUCAGCAACACUGGGACUGAGACACGGCCCAGACUCCUACGGGAGGCAGCAGUGGGGAAUAUUGGACAGUGGGCGAAAGCCUGAUGCAGCAAGGCCGCGUGAGUGAUGAAGGCCUUAGGGUUGUAAAGCUCUUUUACCCGGGAAGAUAAUGACGGUACCGGGAGAAUAAGCCCCGGCUAACUCCGUG